UACGGAGGGUGCAAGCGUUAUCCGGAUUUACUGGGUUUAAAGGGUGUGUAGGCGGACCAUUAAGUCAGCGGUGAAAUCUCCGGGCUCAACCCGGAAACUGCCAUUGAUACUAUUGGUCUUGAAUGUUGUUGAGGUGGGCGGAACGGGUCAUGUAGCGGUGAAAUGCAUAGAUAUGACCCGGAACACCGAUUGCGAAGGCAGCCCACUAAGCAACGAUUGACGCUGAGGCACGAAAGCGUGGGGAUCAAACAGGG
rnacentral:rRNA from 1 species